rnacentral:miRNA from 1 species
AAAUGGCACUGCAUGAAUUCACGG